UGUCGAUGAAGAGCGCAGCCAACUGUGUGAAUUAAUGUGAAAUGCGUACAGCUUCUAACAUCGACAUCUUGAACGCACAUUGCGGCCACGGGUUAGCCUGUGGCCACGCCUGUCCGAGGGUCG
rnacentral:rRNA from 3 species